AUGUGUAACAUUGCCUCCCCUAACUCUGCAUGGAAUACUGCCCUGCUCUCUUGGGUUGCUGUCUUUCUCCUGGCAUCAAGGUCAGCAAAUUCUGGGGUUGUCCAGUCUCCACAACACAUAAUCAAAGAAAAGGGAGGAAGGUCCAUUCUGAAAUGUAUUCCCAUCUCUGGACAUAACAAUGUGAUCUGGUACCAACAGACUCUGGGGCGGGGAUUAAAGUUUCUCAUUCAGCAUUAUGAAAAAUCAGAAGGAGAGAAAGGAGACCUGCCCAGCAGAUUCUCAGUCCAGCAGUUCAACGACUAUCACUCUGAGAUGAACAUGAGUGCCCUGGAGCUGGAGGACUCUGCUGUGUACUUCUGUGCCAGCUCUCUCCACAGCCUUAAAAAGCUACUGGCUUUCAGUAAUGUAAUCUUCCUGUCCCAGCUGGUGAUGUACUAG